rnacentral:snRNA from 1 species
GGAUGUGAGGGCGAUCUGGCUGCGACAUCUGUCACCCCAUUGAUCGCCAGGGUUGAUUCGGCUGAUCUGGCUGGCUAGGCGGGUGUCCCCUUCCUCCCUCACCGCUCCAUGUGCGUCCCUCCCGAAGCUGCGUGCUCGGUUGAAGAGGACGACCAUCCCCGAUAGAGGAGGACCGGUCUUCGGUCAAGGGUAUACGAGUAGCUGCGCUCCCCUGCUAGAACCUCCAAACAAGCUCUAAAAUCAGUGGGCUGGGAAGGUGGCUCAGUGGUAGAGCACUUGCCUUGCAUGCAUGAGGCCCUGGGUU